rfam:Hordeum vulgare subsp. vulgare, WGS project CAJW01000000 data, contig: morex_contig_1568887
UUCAUACUUCCUCCGUUUCAAAAUUCUUGUUUUAGAAUUUUCCGUAUAUGAAUGUAUCUAGUCACAUCUUAGUAUUUACAUACAUUCACUUUUAGAUAAACCUAAGACAAAAAUUUUGAGACGGAUGGAGUACUUC